ensembl:lncRNA
CUGCUCUGACAGCUGAUGCUUGAAGUUAGAGAGGGAGAUAUAAGACUCCAGCUUCAGGGGUUUUUGCAAUUCGUGUUGGGAGGCUAUUUUAGCCAACGAGACCGUACAGGUCACAGUGGUGGGUAGUAUAUGGGGCUUUGGUGACAAAACGGAUGGCACUGUGAUAGACUGCAUCCAAUUUGUUGAGUAGAGUGUUGGAGGCUAUUUUGUAAAUGACAUCGCCGAAGUCAAGGAUCGGUAGGAUAGUUAGUUUUACGAGGGUAUGUUUGGCAGCAUGAGUGAAGGAUGCUUUGUUGGAAACCGAUUCUAGAUUUCAUUUUGGAUUGGAGAUGCUUAAUGUGAGUCUGGAAGGAGAGUUUACAGUCUAAACAGAUACCUAGGUAUUUGUAGUUGUCCACAUAUUCUAGGUCAGAACUGUCCAGAGUAGUGAUGCUAGUCGGGCGGGAGGGUGUAGGCAGCAAUCGGUUGAAGAGCAUGCACUUAGUUUUACUAACAUUUAAAAGCAGUUGGAGGCCAUGGAAGGAGUGUUGCAUGGCGUUGAAGCUCGUUUGGAGUAACGAAUGGGUUUGGCCAUUAGAUGGUGCUAUCAAACCGUUUCUCAACCUUACUCAUGAUGACGGCCUGUAAUGGGCGAGACAGACAUGCUAUCAGACAGAGUUACACAUCUACAGCUUCUCUUGAGGCAAGUGCAAGACCAACAGGUCACAUCCUGUGUCCGAUCCACUCUCCAUGAGCACCUUCCUCACCUGUCCAUCCACGUCUCUUCCUACUGAGGCCGAAAUGAAGAGUUGAGUCCCAGAUGAAGGUUUGAGUCCCAGAUGAAGGUUUGAGGCCCAGGUUUGAGGCCCAGAUGAAGGUUUGAGGCCCAGAUGAAGGGUUGAGGACCAGAUGAAGGUUUGAGGCCCAGAGGAAGGUUUGAGGCCCAGAUGAAGGUUUGAGGCCCAGAUGAAGGUUUGAGGCCCAGAUGAAGGCUUGAGGACCAGAUGAAGGGUUGAGCAGGGGGAAACAAUGUUCAGAUCCAGGGGGGAAACAAGUCAGCAGUCAGGUCACUUCUUGCCACCCCCAGUCGUAUUAUAGACCUAUAGCCUGUUCAGUUAGCCCAUUGGCAAUUAUUCCAUGUUUUAGAGUAUUUGCGAAUAUGUGUAGGUUUGCAGACAGGUUAUCCAAGGUUUGCAGACAGUGUAUCCAUGGUGCGUACCCUGACAGAAUGUUCCGUGCUAUCUGGGAUCCUUGGGACGUCCCUACCCUAACUGUUCUGUGCACAGACGCUGACAGAACAGUUGUUUUUUCUGUUAUCUGUGUUCCUCCUGAAUCAGUGUUGUGUUUAUGGAAGACGCUGAAUGUUCUAAUAGCUUGCCUCAGGCUGUUGAAUUAAAUAACCAUAUCAUUCUUCAGAUAACUCUGCUCUUACAUCACCACCAGCCAGCCAGACUGACUGAGAGCUGCAUCUGUUAGAGCAGGCUGCAGGAUUUCCCUCUCUCUAUCUCAACCCCCCUCUCCCUAUGCCUGGUUAUAUGAAAGGUUUCGACUCCUGCUGUGUUGACUAACUAACACUGAGGUUUCUGACUGAUCCAAGAAUAUAGAAUCCAUCAGAAUGUGCAGCAUCACACAACCAAUAGGAGUCACACAGCAUUGGGACCAACCUGAC